AGUAAUGCCUAGGAAUCUGCCUGGUAGUGGGGGACAACGUUUCGAAAGGAACGCUAAUACCGCAUACGUCCUACGGGAGAAAGCAGGGGACCUUCGGGCCUUGCGCUAUCAGAUGAGCCUAGGUCGGAUUAGCUAGUUGGUGAGGUAAUGGCUCACCAAGGCGACGAUCCGUAACUGGUCUGAGAGGAUGAUCAGUCACACUGGAACUGAGACACGGUCCAGACUCCUACGGGAGGCAGCAGUGGGGAAUAUUGGACAAUGGGCGAAAGCCUGAUCCAGCCAUGCCGCGUGUGUGAAGAAGGUCUUCGGAUUGUAAAGCACUUUAAGUUGGGAGGAAGGGUUGUAGAUUAAUACUCUGCAAUUUUGACGUUACCGACAGAAUAAGCACCGGCUAACUCUGUGCCAGCAGCCGCGGUAAUACAGAGGGUGCAAGCGUUAAUCGGAAUUACUGGGCGUAAAGCGCGCGUAGGUGGUUUGUUAAGUUGGAUGUGAAAUCCCCGGGCUCAACCUGGGAACUGCAUCCAAAACUGGCAAGCUAGAGUAUGGUAGAGGGUGGUGGAAUUUCCUGUGUAGCGGUGAAAUGCGUAGAUAUAGGAAGGAACACCAGUGGCGAAGGCGACCACCUGGACUGAUA
rnacentral:rRNA from 1 species